UACGGAGGGUGCAAGCAUUAAUCGGAUUUAUUGGGCGUAAAGGGCUCGUAGGCGGCCAACUAAGUCAGACGUGAAAUCCCUCGGCUUAACCGGGGAACUGCGUCUGAUACUGGAUGGCUUGAAUCCGGGAGAGGGAUGCGGAAUUCCAGGUGUAGCGGUGAAAUGCGUAGAUAUCUGGAGGAACACCGGUGGCGAAGGCGGCAUCCUGGACCGGCAUUGACGCUGAGGAGCGAAAGCCAGGGGAGCAAAGCGGG
rnacentral:rRNA from 1 species